UACGGAGGGUGCAAGCGUUGUCCGGAUUUAUUGGGUUUAAAGGGUGCGUAGGUGGCCUUAUAAGUCAGUGGUGAAAGCCUGCAGCUUAACUGUAGGACUGCCAUUGAUACUGUAAGGCUUGAGUACUGAUGAGGUAGGCGGAAUUGAUAGUGUAGCGGUGAAAUGCAUAGAUAUUAUCAAGAACACCGAUUGCGAAGGCAGCUUACUAAGGAGUUACUGACACUGAGGCACGAAAGCGUGGGGAU
rnacentral:rRNA from 1 species